ensembl:snoRNA
UGCACUUAUGUAUGUUUUUGUUUAACUUGUGGACAAAGACUUAUGGAUAGGAAUCCUGUUUUACAACCCAGAGCUCACUGUUCAGUAUGAGUUUUGAUACAUAUAAGAAGGGAUGUU